rnacentral:ncRNA from 1 species
ACUCGACCCCAUGAAGUCGGAGUCGCUAGUAAUCGCAGAUCAGCAACGCUGCGGUGAAUACGUUCCCGGGCCUUGUACACACCGCCCGUCAAGUCACGAAAGUUGGUAACACCCGAAGCCGAUGGCCUAACCCCUUUGUGGGGAGGGAGUCGUCGAAGGUGGGACCGGUGAUUGGGACUAAGUCGUAACAAGGUAGCCGUACCGGAAGGUGCGGCUGGAUCACCUCCUUU